rnacentral:rRNA from 1 species
UGAUGCAGCGACGCCGCGUGAGGGAUGACGGCCUUCGGGUUGUAAACCUCUUUCAGUAGGGAAGAAGCGAAAGUGACGGUACCUGCAGAAGAAGCGCCGGCUAACUACGUGCCAGCAGCCGCGGUAAUACGUAGGGCGCAAGCGUUAUCCGGAAUUAUUGGGCGUAAAGAGCUCGUAGGCGGUUUGUCGCGUCUGCUGUGAAAGACCGGGGCUCAACUCCGGUUCUGCAGUGGGUACGGGCAGACUAGAGUGAUGUAGGGGAGACUGGAAUUCCUGGUGUAGCGGUGAAAUGCGCAGAUAUCAGGAGGAACACCGAUGGCGAAGGCAGGUCUCUGGGCAUUAACUGACGCUGAGGAGCGAAAGCAUGGGGAGCGAACAGGAUUA